AGCCCAAAUGUUACCUUAAACCUUCAUGUGAGAGAAGUCCAGGAAUUGGGUUGACCGGAUGGUUGUGCAAUUUUAGCUGAGAAUAGCUUAUCAUCUCCAGUAGGAAUGGUCCAUGUGGCAUUGAUGAAUGCAUGCCUGAGGGUGUGUGGUGGAGUUCUCUUCCUCAUAGCAUUCAGAGCAGUGCUGAACUGAGAUUCUUGAGCAGGUCACCCAAUCUGCCAGACCCUAAAGCCUACAUUGACUUUGGGGAACCCCGUGAAUUUGUAUUAGAUCUACUACGAGGUUCCUGAUUUCACGGUCAUCUGUGUUAUUUAACUCCCUUCCAAACGUUUUGGGGGACAUUUUCCACAUCCUGGUCUCCCCCAGCCAGUGGAAACAGCUGGCAGUGACCUCAUUAGCAGCACAGUGCUGGGAGGAAGGAGACCCAAAGUCAGUGUCGUUUUCAGAUCUGAGGAUGCAUCUCAACCUACACACAAAGGCAUGUAGAUAUGUAUCCUAACUGGCAUUGUUUCAGAGCUCACUUCUGACCUUUAAUCUUUGGAAAGGGGGCCAAUACCUCUCUAGCUUAGUGGGUUUCUGUCUCUUGACAAUUACUUCCUAUAUUGCCUUUCUCCCUUUCUAGUGACGAGCAUACUAAUGCCUGGGAUUGUUCAGGAUUCCUGUGCGGCCCCCCUGAACUCUCCAUCUUCUCCUGACCCCAGCUUGUUCUAUGUAAAAGAGAGAGAUGGUGGGAUAAAGCGUGGAACCCAGAGUGCCUUUCCAGCAAGAAACGUGUUUCCAGGCUUUCUUGGCCUCUUGGCUGAGAGACCUGUUUGUUUUUAUUACUAAAACUCCAUAUUCAUAAGAAAAAUAGAACAGCAACAGCAAUAAUAAUAAUGCACUGUCACACUGUGCUCAGCCACCUCUUUGUUUCCUGAUAUCGAGGAGCAAAAUGCACCCUCUCCCCUGGGCCCCCUUCUCCCACGGAGGUGAAUGAGCUUUAAAAUCCCUUUGACUCUGAAUGAGCAGCAGAAUGGAUGGGGCCUUCAUUGAAAAUGGGGAGGCUGAGCCAGUUUGCUCCCCCUCCAGCAUCCUCCUGAGCCCAGUGGCUGACCUUGUGGCUCUGCAACUGGCCUGCUAGUUAAAUGUGACCACUGAACAGCCACUUGACAGGAUUUCCAGCUUAUUAAAAAUGGAGGGUGGCCACCAGGGAUUUGCGCAUAAAGGUAAUAAAAGAGAACCUAAUAAAAACUUUUAAAACGUGCACAUGCACAUUCUGAGGGAGCGCAAUCUUAACCCCCACUCACCCCAGAAGAAUAAGAUUUGAAGACCAGGGCUGAAGAAAUGAAGCAAGAGCUACAGACCACAAGUGGAGGGCACUUUCCAACCCUAAGUUUUUUUUUGCCUCCAAAAUUGCUUUCUAAAUGAUGGAGCCAUGAUGCUGAUUAUGUUGUUUAUAUCUAACUUACAUUUUAUGUAUUUCAAGAUGUAGGCAGAGUAAAAGAAUGCAAACAUUCAGACAAAGCCAUGCCUUCUGAUUUUAAUGAAUGAAGUUUGUGGCACAUGUAGGAAAAUCAGUGUGUCAGCUUCUGUAACCUUGGACAACACAGAUCUUAUGGCCAGGUACAAUUUAUCUGUCAUUGUCCUCACCUGCCAAUGAAUAAAAAUAUACAAAAAUACAUUUUUCCGAAAACCUCGUGACACUGUCAUCUUGCUUCUACUCCAUAGUUUCUUCUUAGAUAACCUUAAAAGGGAUCUGGUUUUCAACGUAAUGAUCAAAAUAUGUAGAUGUCCCCCAAUUUUAUUAUGUAAGUGACUCUUUCUUGCUGCCUAUCAUUCAGCUUUCUUUUAUCCACGAUCACAUUUUCCUCCGGAAGAGAAAUACUGCUUCCCCUCCCAUGCGGCACUUAGAGACUCUUGGUGCCAUUAUUUAUUAAACUCUGUUUCUGAAGGAGAGUUAGAAAGAGGUCAACACAGGGAAUAUUGAGUUACCCUUGGACUGGCCAGUGGUGACUGGUAGCUUCAGCAGAACAGCAGGGAGUCAGAUUCUAGAAGCCAGAUUUUUUUAUAAGGCAGCUGAGCGUGGUAGAGAGAAUGAGAGCCGCAGGCAGUUCUUCUUCUGCUAAUAACUGUUUCACUUUAGAGAAGACCCCUUGUGCCUUUAUAUCCUGUCUCUUCAUCUGGGACAUGGGGGUGUGUGAGGUAGGGAUAGAUCAUCUCUAGGUCCUGGGCUUUGUCACUGAUCACUUGACUGUAGAAUCAGAAAAAUCUGAAAGGCCCUUCCAGGUUUGUCUAGCUUGCUGCCUUGUGUUAUAGCAGUGCUGUACCAGCUGUGCUCCAGGUAAAAGGUGACCUGGUGUAACUCAAGAUUAAAUGAUAGCUCUUUUAGGGAGUGCUUUUUAUGUGGGCAUCUAACAUAUAUAAUGGAAAGAAAGAUCUCCACUUUUUUUCUGCUCAGAGGAUGGGGAACAGGAUGUUGGACCCUUGUAAGUCCUACCCUAUAAAAGGUUAGGGUUGUGUGGAGGUUUGUUCACUAUGAUAUUGCAAAUGCCAAGCAAGGUGUCUAUAGGAAGUGGAUAAAUAUCUGUUGAAGGAAUGCAUGCAUGCAUGAAUGAAUGAAUGAAACAUUCAUAGGGUGUGGCUAAGGAUUUUUAAGACAUUCUGGCUUCCCAGUGGGUCAGUUUCUGAUCCCAGGAAAGCCCAAUGGGACAUAAUUUGUAAAUGAGUCUGCCUGCAUUGUGAAUUAAGGCUGAGUUAGGAAAAUAUUUUUCUUCUUCGCCAUUGGCUUGGAGUGUUACAAUUUUUGAGAAUGAAUGUUGUCUCUUAGGUGUGUGUGUGUGUGUGUGUGUGUGUGUGUGUGUGUGUGUUUAAGACAGACAGAAACAAAGACAGAUCCAAAAGCUACCUGCUGACAACAGGGAUAGGUGUCUCUUCAGCUUACGUCUUGAAGGGCAACCCAUACCUAUGCUGUGUUCUGCAGCAGGGCUGGAGUGUCAACGCCCUGACACAUGUCUUGGGACAUGAAAUGCCAAAGGCCAUCGUGAUCUAGUAUCUUGAAGGCGCCUGGUUCCUCAUCCAGACUGAACAUCUCAGACCCAGGAUGUUCUCCUGAAGACAAGGGGGAGCCCGUGGGUAGACAGUGGGGUUUCUCAAAUGGUGAGCAGGGAGGAGAACAGGUUAGAAGGAAGUUGCUUUUAUUUUAUUUUUUUUUAUUUUUUUUUUUAUUUUCCCACUGUACAGCAAGGGGGUCAGGUUAUCCUUACAUGUAUACAUUACAAUUACAGAUUUUCCCCCACCCUUUCUUCUGUUGAACUUCUUGGGUAUUCUGGAAUAUGAGAUAACUUAUGUCAAGUGCAAGGUUUAAAAUCUUUCUUCUCUAGUGAAAUUUCCCUUAAUUAUUCUAAUCUUUCAGGAGAUUCUGACAUUCCCACUUCUGCUGAAAAUGGAGAUUAGAAACAGAUUAGGAAAGAAUAUAAAGCUGUGUUUUUAUUAGAGAGAACAGUCUUAUUUAUUUGUUUACUUACUCACCAAAGAAGUAGAAUCCUACAAACUAUAACCUUUGGUGCUUAAGAAGGUCCUGGGAGGCCCAAAUGUACGCAGCUGAAUCACGGUGCCCAAAGCCCACCUGGGUUGGCUGUCAUUAUGAUCACGUUACUCUUUUAAGAUCAAUGCCUAUAAAUGAGUUUCACCCAAAUUUUGGGCACUUACUGUUUUCAUCAUAUAAUGAAGGUAUGUAUGUAGAAAAAGCAGCUGUGGCUCCUUUAAGGACUAUGUGAGCUCAAGCACUUACUAUAUAACUCAAGGACCAUUAUUUGCCCAGACAAUCCUGCAUGCCUCUUUGGCUAUAAUUGGUUAUUGAAUUGGACCAGAAUGAUCAACAAAAGCAGUCCAGAAAGGUCAAACUUUAUUAUUUUUUUUUCUCCUUUGAAGGAAAUAUUUUGGAAAGCAGAACGUUUUUCUGAUAUGUCUUGCUUUUCUGGUCUCCCCAUUCAGGAUGUUGCCUGAGCUGCCCGGCUGCUGCUCCUUACGCAUGGAUCGUGACGAUCUGGAGAGGAGAAGCUGCCAGUCUAGAAAACUCUGCUCUUGCCUGCUAAACCAAGGAACACAUAGUGCUGACAGCUUUGAAUCGCCUUGCAGGCAUGAAAGUAGAAGUUAAGUCAGGCCUGACACUAAAAGCUGCUUUUUCCAGCAGGGAAAGCCCCUCUUGUAUAAUUACUGAAGCCAGAAGUUGUUUAAAUAGGAAAAACUUGUUUGGGUUGUUUCUUGAUUUUUGUCGGUUUGUUGCUGAGAUGGCUUUAUAUUUCUUUGGGAAACAUUUCAGUCCCCUCUUGAUAGCUGAAUUUGAAUACAUUUUUUUCAAAGCGAUGAGUUAAUGCCCCAUGUUGUUUAUAAUUAUAAGGAUCAAUGGCUGCCCUAGGCCCCCAUAAUGCCAGGGGUCCCUUUAUUGAGGAAAAGAAAACAGAAAAUCAAGCCACUUUGCCUGGAGGGCUACCACAGGCUACUGGUUUGAGAGAGGUUUUCACUCUCUAAUGAGUGUAAUAUUAAAAUUAGGUGAGUUCAGGAGGUUUUAUUUUUGAAGUAUUUGAACUAUGUAUAUGGGCAUCUGCAAAUGCCAAUCAUAUGACUUUCGAGGCCACAAUGCAUUGUUUGUGCUCACACAUAUGCUGACAGCAUUUGUUUUAUGCACCUGCUUCUUCUCCAGUCCCAGUUUCCUUCGAUCUUUUGAUUUUGUUUUAAUGUGCAGGCGUUUGCUGAAGUGUAACCACUCAGAGAGCAUCUGGGCUCGCAUGGGUUUUAAAACUGAAUCCACAUUUUAAUGGUUUCUCACCUCUCCAUCUGGAU
rnacentral:lncRNA from 1 species